rnacentral:rRNA from 1 species
GAUGGGCCCGCGCCCGAUUAGCUAGUUGGUGAGGUAACGGCUCACCAAGGCUUCGAUCGGUAACCGGCCUGAGAGGGCGAUCGGUCACACCGGAACUGAGACACGGUCCGGACUCCUACGGGAGGCAGCAGUGGGGAAUCUUGCGCAAUGGGCGAAAGCCUGACGCAGCAACGCCGCGUGGAGGAUGAAGGCCCUUGGGUUGUAAACUCCUGUCGGCUGGGAAGAAAUCGUGCGGUGCUCAUACCACCGUGCGUUGACUGUACCAGCAAAGGAAGCCCCGGCUAACUCUGUGCCAGCAGCCGCGGUAAUACAGAGGGGGCCAGCGUUAUUCGGAAUUAUUGGGCGUAAAGGGCGCGUAGGCGGCCAUGCGUGUCUUCCGUGAAAUCCCUCGGCUUAACUGAGGACGUGCGGAAGAAACUGCAAGGCUCGAGUCCGGGAGAGGGGGGUGGAAUUCCCAGUGUAGCGGUGAAAUGCGUAGAUAUUGGGAGG